rnacentral:rRNA from 1 species
GGGGACCAUCCUCCAAGGCUAAAUACUCCUGACUGACCGAUAGUGAACCAGUACCGUGAGGGAAAGGCGAAAAGAACCCCGGCGAGGGGAGUGAAAAAGAACCUGAAACCGUGUACGUACAAGCAGUGGGAGCCCCACCACUAAGCCAGUGGUGAACUCCACAUCCGCAUCCUUUGCUGAGGAUACGGUUAACGGAGCGAAAGCGACGUUCAACCGCAAAACAAGCAGAGGGGGCUUAGUGGUGGGGUGACUGCGUACCUUUUGUAUAAUGGGUCAGCGACUUAUAUUCUGUAGCAAGGUUAACCGAAUAGGGGAGCCGGAGGGAAACCGAGUCUUAAUUGGGCGUUAAGUUGCAGGGUAUAGACCCGAAACCCGGUGAUCUAGCCAUGGGCAGGUUGAAGGUUGGGUAACACUAACUGGAGGACCGAACCGACUAAUGUUGAAAAAUUAGCGGAUGACCUGUGGCUGGGGGUGAAAGGCCAAUCAAACCGGGAGAUAGCUGGUUCUCCCCGAAAGCUAUUUAGGUAGCGCCUCGUGAAUUCAUCUCCGGGGGUAGAGCACUGUUUCGGCUAGGGGGCCAUCCCGGCUUACCAACCCGAUGCAAACUGCGAAUACCGGAGAAUGUUAUCACGGGAGACACACGGCGGGUGCUAACGUCCGUCGUGAAGAGGGAAACAACCCAGACCGCCAGCUAAGGUCCCAAAGUCAUGGUUAAGUGGGAAACGAUGUGGGAAGGCCCAGACAGCCAGGAUGUUGGCUUAGAAGCAGCCAUCAUUUAAAGAAAGCGUAAUAGCUCACUGGUCGAGUCGGCCUGCGCGGAAGAUGUAACGGGGCUAAACCAU